AGUCAUUUGUCACUAGUGUCUGGAAUGGGUCACUGACUAAUGAUCAGCUUAAUUCGGAACCCAUUUACCAAAUUUUUUACAGUGAUUUCUUUAGGGUUCAAGAAGCUUUGUCUUCUUUCUUACCCCUUUUUCGUGAUUACUGACGUUUGUGGAGUAAACUCCCCCUGUUUGCUAGGGUUUUCGAUGUCCCACCGCUGGUUCGUGGAAGAUAUCAACUAUAGAUGGACGUAUAAGUUUCCUUCGAGGGAACAAUUACAGUUUCCGAUUGGUAGUCUUGAAGGAUUUUUCGCUCUACAUUAAUGCUUACUAGGGUUUUGCUGGCUUUCAUGAUGUUCUGUACGUGUUAAUUCGAAAGUUUAGGGGUAGAACUUUCAGAAGGUAAGUUUGAUUCGUGAGCUUUUUGAGUGAGUUGGGGUUUAGUAAUGAAGCAUUGGGCUUCGAAGAGUUGGUGAGGAUAAUCUUAAAACCUGGAGCAUUAUUUGGAGCUCUUGAGCAGAGUGUGGUGUUGACGUUUUUUAUGCACUUGUUCUCGAGCUGCGGUGAACACUGCGGCUUUGGUGUGAAAGGGCUGGAUGUGAUCAACGUCAAAAUAGUUUCCCCUUCUCUAUGUUGUGCAUGAGAAGGAAUCAAGUUGGAGGUCAUGGCAGCUCCGGGAGGCGAAGAUGUAGAAAUGGCAGAUGCUGCGGAGGGCUCCGGACCAUCUGUUUUUGCGUUAUUGAAUCCCAAGCGUGAACCUGCCGCCGCUGCACCCAGCAAAGGGAAGUUCGUACCAAAAGUGAAAGCCCGACCAGGGGCACGCGUUCGAACGCGGCCUUCUGCACAGACAGAACCCAAGGUUGAGACAGCUCCAGUCCCCGUCAAUGGCGAAUCGGCUAUUCCCAUGGUCGUUGGCGACAAUGCUAAAACCUCGUCGUCGAUGGAUACGAAAGGAGCAGGAGAAAUUCCUUUGUUGACUGUGAAGGCUGAGCCCGAUGUCGUCAAAUCAGAACCUACGGACGGUGUUCCUCUUCUAAAUGCUAAAGAAGAGCCCUGUGAUGAAGCUGACCUCAAAUUGAAGCUGGAGUCGGACAUGAGUAAACAAUCGAUCAAAGAAGAAGUAAAAGAAGAGCCACCAAGUGUGAAAGAGGUCGAUGAUGAACUGAAAGAUGAGCCUAUGGUUGUGGAUUCAGUAGUGUCUAAACCUGGAGUUGAUCGGGUUGUCAGAGAAAUUGACGUGUUUUUAACACCGCGUGUCGACCCUGAGACAAACUUAUACGUUCUACAAUAUCCGUUGCGACCGUACUGGAGACCAUAUAAUCUGGAGGAGCGCUGUCUAGAGGUGCGUAUUAAACCGCAGCAGACAAAGUUUGAAGUGGAUCUUGAUAUUGAUACCACCAGUGAAAACUAUGACCAAGAUCGGGAACAGCAUCUUCAGAUUGAGAAGCAGACACUCGCUUCGUCAAAAGUUGCAAUGACCACUAGCUAUGCCAUUGGAAUAUUGCGGGGAAAUCGGUUACACCUAAACCCAGUGCAAGCUGUGGUACAAUUUCGACCCUCAAUGAAAUACAUAGAUGAAUAUGAUGCAGCGAAAAAGAAAAGUAACAAAGAGGCUGGGAUCGCCGAUGGAGAUGAGGAGGAGUUGUUUGAUGCUGAACCACCUGAAUCCAAAACAGAGUUAACCCUGCUUCAGGUGAAUGUUAGGAGGCGAGAAACUGAGCGUCAAGAAGCAACUCGGCUGCAGUCUCAUGCCUAUUUGAAGCAAUUGGAUGAAGCAGAGGCAUGGAUUCCACUUGAACCUCAUGGGACAGAUAGUCCGAUUACAGAAGGCAUCCGGCAGAAGAUGGUUACCUCAACGCAAGAUCGUAUCAACUUUAACUUGAGCCCUGAUGCUUAUCUGAACACCUUGGUUCCAGGACGGGCAAGCACGAGCACUGCUGGGUCCCUUAUAGAGGACGGGUCUGGCAAUGUUGGUAUUUCUAGAAGCCAUUUGGAGACGCUUGUUUUGCCCGAAGUCAGAUUUGAGUAUCUACUUAGAGUGAGCCGUGUCCAAGUGUUGCAAUUUGAGAGGUUGAUGAAGAUGGCACCAGCAGGCUGUAGUGAUGAAGAAUUGCUGAACGUUCUUAGUAACUUCGCUGUUCUAGUCCAGGGUUGUUGGGUUGCCGCUAGCCAUAUUCGUCCUGAGUACCGUGGUGGAUUAAGAGCAAUGAGGGAUUACAUUCUUUUCCUCUUUAGUAAAAACCGAGUAGUGAAGCAUGAACAGCUUCGGGGACUUCCUUUGACCAAGGGAGCUUUACGAGAAAUCAUGGUGCCAAUAGCAGUGCAGCGAGCUGGCGUUGGGUGGGAAUUUCAGGAAGACACUGACAAGUCAUUCAUCAAAAAACAUCAGUCGGUGGUCAAGGAACAGACUGCCCAGUGGGUAAACUCAGAACCAGGUAUUGUGGGAGCUUUGGUAGAAAUGAACCCGUCAUUCCCAGAAGUACAUGGAUUUGAGCCCUCGGAAACCUUUGAAGGUAACAAGAAACUUAACACCAAAAGUGGUAAACAAGGUAAUUCUUCACUAGUUUCGCAUUCGCCUAAACCACCUUCCGGAAAAAUUCAAGGAAACAAAGCAGGACCAUUGGGUGAAGCAGGACCAUCGGGUGAUGGACACGAUAAAAGCAAUGUUGAGAAUGGUGCACAGGGAACCAUGUCAGAUGAAACCCGAAUGGCAUUGCCAGGUGCUUUGAAGGAGAUUUUUGCCAAGCACCAUGUUUGCACGAUGCAGAUCAUUGUUCAGAGUCUACGGGACAUGGCGAUUGAGCGUACUGUUGCUAAUUCUAACCCUAAGUCAGCAGCAGCAGCAGUAGCAGCUGCCAAAGCUGCUAAUGCCCCUGCCUCGGAGCUUACAGCUGCAGUGUGUAGAGUGGCAACUAAUAUUGGUGGUGUUUACUUUUUGACUACAUUGAACAACCCAGCACUUGAUCCAUUUAGAGAGGUGGUGAUUGCACUGUUGAGAAAGAUGGGGCCAGAUGCUGGGCUCCGAAAAAAUGACAUUUUGCUAGCAUUUAAAUCUGCGGGGAGAGAGGCUCCAUCAGCUACGUAUCUCAAGGUUAUGAAAGAACUUUGUUACACAAGGGGUGCAGCUUGGUACCUUAAGCCAGGAGAUGGUCGUCCUGCAUAGUUGGAUAAUGGUUCUUAUUUUUGACCGAUUCUUCUAGAGUUGCUGUCGUUCUUUUCAAUUUGGGAGAACCAACCCAUGUUCUGCAUGUCAACUUGGAAACCUUGAAUUCUUCACCGACUCAGACAACAUAGAGGAGAUUCACAUGUGCUUCACAUCUUUGAUUCGCACUACUGAAUACUUUUAAAAUGGUACUGAAGACGCACAACUUUUAUAUUAUAUUUGCUAAACUUUUCUAAAACAAUUCGACAAUGAAUUUGAUACGUUUACUGGUUUCAAGUUCAUCUGUGAUCAAGUCCCAUAGAACCUUGGAUUUAUUAAUAUUUAAAAAUAAAAGUCCACUAAUCCUUGUUUUCCUAAGA